rnacentral:RNase_P_RNA from 1 species
UGAGUUGCUGGGACGAUCGCUCUGUCAGUCAGCCUUGGGGGUAACUCCAAGGGGGAAUUGGCGGGGAGGAAAGUCCGGACUCCAUGGGUCAGGGUGGUUGUUAACGGCAACCGACCGCGAGGUUAGGGAAAGUGCCACAGAGAAUAGACCGCCUACCCCAGGCUUCGGCCUGGGCGGCAAGGGUGAAACGGUGCGGUAAGAGCGCACCGCGGUCCUGGUGACAGGGCUGGCAUGGUAAACCCCACCCGGAGAAAGACCAAAUAGGGAAGGUGCAUGACGUAGACCCCGUCCAUGCCUUCCGGGUAGGUCGUUCGAGGCCGGAGGCGACUCCGGUCCCAGAGAAAUGAUCGUCGGCGGUCCGAGUCAAAUCGGGCCGGACAGAAUCCGGCUUACAAGGCAACUCACGUC